AGUGAACGCUGGCGGUAGGCCUAACACAUGCAAGUCGAACGGCAGCACAGGAGAGCUUGCUCUCUGGGUGGCGAGUGGCGGACGGGUGAGGAAUACAUCGGAAUCUACUUUUUCGUGGGGGAUAACGUAGUGAAACUUACGCUAAUACCGCAUACGACCUACGGGUGAAAGCAGGGGAUCUUCGGACCUUGCGCGAUUCAAUGCGCCGAUGUCGGAUGAGCUAGGUGGCGGGGUAAAGGCCCACCAAGGCGACGAUCCGUAGCUGGUCUGAGCGGAUGAUCAGCCACACUGGAACUGAGACACGGUCCAGACUGCUACGGGAGGCAGCAGUGGGGAAUAUUGGACAAUGGGCGCAAGCCUGAUCCAGCCAUACCGCGUGGGUGAAGAAGGCCUUCGGGUUGUAAAGCCCUUUUGUUGGGAAAGAAAUCCAGCUGGUUAAUACCCGGUUGGGAUGACGGUACCCAAAGAAUAAGCACCGGCUAACUUCGUGCCAGCCGCCGCCGUAA
rnacentral:rRNA from 1 species